CCCAGACUCCUACGGGAGGCAGCAGUGGGGAAUAUUGGGCAAUGGGCGCAAGCCUGACCCAGCAACGCCGCGUGAAGGAAGAAGGCUUUCGGGUUGUAAACUUCUUUUCUGAGGGACGAAGAAAGUGACGGUACCUCAGGAAUAAGCCACGGCUAACUACGUGCCAGCAGCCGCGGUAAUACGUAGGUGGCAAGCGUUAUCCGGAUUUAUUGGGUGUAAAGGGCGUGUAGGCGGGCUGUUAAGUCAGCGGUCAAAUGUCGGGGCUCAACCCCGGCCUGCCGUUGAAACUGGCGGCCUCGAGUGGGCGAGAAGUAUGCGGAAUGCGCGGUGUAGCGGUGAAAUGCAUAGAUAUUAGGAGGAACACCAGUGGCGAAGGCGGCUUACUGGACUGUAACUGACGUUGAGGCUCGAAAGCGUGGGGAGCAAACAGGAUUAGAUACCCUAGUAAU
rnacentral:rRNA from 1 species